GUUUCUUUUUUGUCAAUGACCAAUUGUAAAUCAAUAAAUUUCGAAUUUUUAAAUAUACGAACUGUUUGCUUUUCUGAAAUGAAAUAGCUGCUCAUUUGUUGGAACCGCCGAUAUCAGACAAAUAUAGCAACUCUCUGCCAAGCAAAUUCAACGAUCAAAAUCCAGUUCGCUUAUGGAAAACUUUUUCAUUUGAAAAGAUAUGUUUACGAAAUUUUGCAUAGAUUACAGCCCAAUGCAACUCUACAAUCUCCACAGAAAUUGUUCAGAUCGGAACAUUACAGCUUUUAGCUGCCAUACAAACUGACCGAUCGAAAUGCAAUCUUGUAAGGAAACUUUCUUAUAUUAUAUGUGAAGGGUAUUCUAACUUCGGUGCAUUCGAAGUUAGCGUUUAUAUAAAUUUAUUGUUCCAGAAAAAAGUUUACAAAAUAAUUUAAACUGCAUGUAUUAUUCAUAACAAUUUGUUUAUUUAUUUAUAAACAAGUAAGUUAAUAUAUAAGAUAAACACAUUUAAACAGCAAGUUCAUAUAUUUGUUUAUGCAAGACAUGUCUGCAGUUUAAAGCCUUUGCCCCUAAGCAAGAGUUUAUUUAUAUAAUAUAAUCAUUAAUGAAUCGAGCAACUGUACAAAGGAACUUGAGAGUUCCCAGCUACGUAUCUUAAAAUAAA